rnacentral:rRNA from 1 species
UGGGUGACGAGUGGCGGACGGGUGAGUAAUGUCUGGGGAUCUGCCCGAUAGAGGGGGAUAACCACUGGAAACGGUGGCUAAUACCGCAUAACGUCGCAAGACCAAAGAGGGGGACCUUCGGGCCUCUCACUAUCGGAUGAACCCAGAUGGGAUUAGCUAGUAGGCGGGGUAAUGGCCCACCUAGGCGACGAUCCCUAGCUGGUCUGAGAGGAUGACCAGCCACACUGGAACUGAGACACGGUCCAGACUCCUACGGGAGGCAGCAGUGGGGAAUAUUGCACAAUGGGCGCAAGCCUGAUGCAGCCAUGCCGCGUGUAUGAAGAAGGCCUUCGGGUUGUAAAGUACUUUCAGCGGGGAGGAAGGCGAU